UACGGAGGGUGCGAGCGUUGUCCGGAAUCAUUGGGCGUAAAGCGCGUGUAGGCGGCCAGGUAAGUCCGUUCUGAAAGCCCGGGGCUCAACCCCGGGAGGCGGAUGGAUACUGCUUGGCUCGAGUCCGGAAGAGGCGAGUGGAAUUCCCGGUGUAGCGGUGAAAUGCGCAGAUAUCGGGAGGAACACCUGUGGCGAAAGCGGCGCACUGGACCAUUUCUGACGCUGAGGCGCGAAAGCUAGGGGAGCAAACAGG
rnacentral:rRNA from 1 species